GUUGACAUUUAUUGUUUUAAAACCUUGAGAAAAUGUAGUGAGGACUUGCCCAGCACCAUCAGUUUCUGUAUGAAAUGUUUAAAGUGCACAUUUUUCAUCUGAUGCCAGAAUGCGGAUCAGAGCCAGGCCUUGUUUGACAACCAGAUGACUAGCACAAAGGGGUUCCCCUGAUGAAAACGCUCAGAUAUGUGAGCUGGCACACAGCACAGAUCCCCGCUCACCCCCUUCAGAAGCCAGAGCACAGUCAUGUGCGGGGCACAUGGGCCGCCAGCACAUCGCCACACGGAACCCAGCAAGGCUGGACUGAGUAAUCAGGCUGGCCAAAUUGGGCCAUUUUUCUACGCCUGAAAUUCAGAGAGCAGCUUCAGGGCGUUAAAUGGAAACAAUUUGAAUGGCAAAAUGAAAAUUGACCACACAUUGCUGAGAGGCUGGGCUAAGAUCAGUUUUCAGAAUCCUGAAUUCUUCAUUCUUCUAAGAAGAAUUCUUCUUAUUCAUUCUUCUAAGAAAUUUGGUGUUUCAUAAAGAUGAUGUCCUGAACUAGAAAUCCAUCUCCCUGCGAAUUAAAAGGUUUUUCUGAAAUCAUCCUGCUUGUCAUUUCUUAAAGCACAAUAAUAUUCCAUCACUAUUUGAUUCUUUAUUUACUGACCAUCUCCUUUGUGGCCAGCAUUGCCAGAAGAUUCUGCAUUAAAGGGAGGACUGUAUAACCUUGAGCCCCAGACUUAUGAUUCACAGGCCUGGGUCCCAGGGCCUGUGUUGGGGGGUGGAGGGUUGGGAAAGGUAGCUCAGGCAUUAAGCUUUUACAGCUGGAGGGGCUGGUAUCCUACCAGGUAAUCCCGGGGCCUUCUUGCCAGUGAGAUGAUACUCCCCUAGGGCUGAGUUCUGCUCCCUCUCAGGAUACAUUCAUUGUGAAAAUGUUUAACAGUUCUAAACUUUAUAAAGUGUUCAAGCCCAGCAUGAAUCAUUCUUUUUGAACUUGUUUAAAUGUGUUUAUAAAAUAAAGCUGUAGCCCUCCACUCUGCCGGGCCGAACGUGAAGGUAAUAUGUUUUUAAUUGGGGAGAUUUGGGGGAAGGUGGCUGCCUGCCAGGGUGAGGUCACCCUUUAUGAAUGCUGUACUCAGGAGAACAAUGUGGACACACAUUCUUUUACAACAACUGUUCACCACAGGUCAGUCAGAGUCGGCCUCGACGGAAAGUAUAAUGUGGCUUUAAAAUCAUUUUUAGCUAGAAUCCCCAACAAUGUGGUCCCCAGAACCACAAUAAUUCAAUGGAGGCAGCCUGCACUCAAGAAGUCCCAUUCAUUCUGAUACCGGUGUGCUUUGUCCACAGCACGUAGAGUGGACUAAUAAUCAACAACGCCAAUAGUAGCUAGCCUUUGUAAAGCACUUUGCAAAGCCCAUCAUCUCAUCCGAUCCACACGACAGCUCUGAAAAGGAGGUCCUCCCAUUAUCCACAUUUUUGCAGAUGAGAAAGUUAGGAGAGUUUAAGAGAGAUUAAGUGACUUGCACAAGUGUGCACAGCUAGUUAGGGCACUCUCCUUCACUUCAUUAAUAAUUUCUUCUUAAAUCUGACAGCCAUCUUGGAACACGGGGAGUUGGUUGGUUCUUUGAUAUCAGGAGUCAGGAGACCAAGAUUAGUCCUUGCCUCUACUAUUAGUUAACAGUGCAUUAAGAGAUUUUUCUAAGCCUCUUUUUCCCCAAAUGCAAAUUGGCCUUAAUUCCUGCCACCUACCUCACAAGGUUGUUAGGAAGAUAAAAUGAGCCAAUGUGUAAUAUUGUAUAAUGGAAAGGAAUUAAAUUUGGGGUGAGAAACAUCUGGUUUGAAUUCAGGCUCUGAAUCUAGUUGUGUGACCCUGGAAGCUUCAUUUUCCUCAUCAAUAAUAAGGAUAAAAAGCACUGCCUUACAGGGUUGUUUUGAGGAAAGGGCUUCUAUAAAUGUAAAUCAUGAUUAUAAAGUGCUUUAAAAAGUAGAGAUUGAAGCACAUUAUGUGCCAUUAUAGGAUUACUCUCAAGUUACAUAUGGGAAAACUGAGUCUAGAGAUGGAUGUGGCCAAAACCACACAAUGAACAAGGGUAGAGUCAGUAAAAGAUAUUACAUGGCUUCCUGAGCCCACUUAGCAUCAGAUAAGUAUGGCCAGGAAGCUAAAUGAGUGGGUAACAAAGGUGAGAACAACACUUUUGUUAAACCUUAAGGAGGAUGAUUUAGAUUAUUUUGUACUCAACAUAGGCAGACCCCACAUACAAUCCAUAUCCUCAAAAUUGUG